GAUACCAGGGUACCAAGGUCUUUACCCACUUGAGCUUGCUCAAAAGUGGGUAAUAGACUUUGGUACCCGCCCCAAAUAUGAGCAUAAAAGUGGGACGCUAGUCCCACGAUAUGCGAAUAUUUGGUAGGAUUGUGAGAGCGCGUAGCGCGGAACAAUCCGUAGGUAU
rnacentral:sRNA from 1 species